GACGAACGCUGGCGGCGUGCCUAAUGCAUGCAAGUCGCACGCGGCACCUUCGGGUGCUGAGUGGCGAACGGCUGAGGAACCCGUGGGGACCUGUCCGGGAGUGGGGGACAACACCGCGAAAGCGGUGCUAAUCCCGCAUACGCUCUGAGGAGGAAAGCCGCAAGGCGCUCCCGGUUGGCCCGGCGGCCCAUCAGGUUGUUGGUGGGGUAACGGCCUACCAAGCUAAUGACGGGUCGCUGGUCUGUGGGGACGACCAGCCAGACUGGGGCUGGGACACGGCCCGGACUCCUACGGGAGGGGGCGGAAAGGAAUUUUCGGCAAUGGGCGCGAGCCUGACCGAGCAACGCCGCGUGCAGGAAGACGGCCGUCGGGUUGUAAACUGCUUUUGCUAGGGAGGUUAACAGACAGUACCUGGCGAAUCAGCCCCGGCUAACUCUGUG
rnacentral:rRNA from 1 species